rnacentral:rRNA from 1 species
GCGUGCUUAACACAUGCAAGUCGAACGGAAAGGCCCUGCUUGCAGGGUACUCGAGUGGCGAACGGGUGAGUAACACGUGGGUGAUCUGCCUUGCACUUCGGGACAAGCCUGGGAAACUGGGUCUAAUACCGGAUAGGAGCCAUUUUUAGUGUGAUGGUUGGAAAGUUUUUUCGGUGUAGGAUGAGCUCGCGGCCUAUCAGCUUGUUGGUGGGGUAAUGGCCUACCAAGGCGGCGACGGGUAGCCGGCCUGAGAGGGUGGACGGCCACAUUGGGACUGAGAUACGGCCCAGACUCCUACGGGAGGCAGCAGUGGGGAAUAUUGCACAAUGGGCGCAAGCCUGAUGCAGCGACGCCGCGUGGGGGAUGACGGCCUUCGGGUUGUAAACUCCUUUCGCUAGGGACGAAGCUUUUUGUGACGGUACCUAGAUAAGAAGCACCGGCUAACUACGUGCCAGCAGCCGCGGUAAUACGUAGGGUGCGAGCGUUGUCCGGAAUUACUGGGCGUAAAGGGCUCGUAGGUGGUUUGUCGCGUCGUCUGUGAAAUUCCGGGGCUUAACUCCGAGCGUGCAGGCGAUACGGGCAUAACUUGAGUACUGUAGGGGUAACUGGAAUUCCUGGUGUAGCGGUGAAAUGCGCAGAUAUCAGGAGGACACCGAUGGCGAAGGCAGGUUACUGGGCA